rnacentral:rRNA from 1 species
UAAUGCCGGAUGCUCCAGUUGAUCGCAUGGUCUUCUGGGAAAGCUUUCGCGGUAUGGGAUGGGGUCGCGUCCUAUCAGCUUGACGGCGGGGUAACGGCCCACCGUGGCUUCGACGGGUAGCCGGCCUGAGAGGGCGACCGGCCACAUUGGGACUGAGAUACGGCCCAGACUCCUACGGGAGGCAGCAGUGGGGAAUAUUGCACAAUGGGCGCAAGCCUGAUGCAGCGACGCCGCGUGAGGGAUGGAGGCCUUCGGGUUGUAAACCUCUUUUAUCGGGGAGCAAGCGAGAGUGAGUUUACCCGUUGAAUAAGCACCGGCUAACUACGUGCCAGCAGCCGCGGUAAUACGUAGGGUGCAAGCGUUAUCCGGAAUUAUUGGGCGUAAAGGGCUCGUAGGCGGUUCGUCGCGUCCGGUGUGAAAGUCCAUCGCUUAACGGUGGAUCCGCGCCGGGUACGGGCGGGCUUGAGUGCGGUAGGGGAGACUGGAAUUCCCGGUGUAACGGUGGAAUGUGUAGAUAUC